rnacentral:rRNA from 1 species
AAUCAACGCUGGCGGCGUGCCUAACACAUGCAAGUCGAACGCGAAAGGGGCUUCGGCCCUGAGUAGAGUGGCAAACGGGUGAGUAACGCGUGGGUGACCUGCCCUCGAGUGGGGGAUAACGUUCCGAAAGGAGCGCUAAUACCGCAUGACAUUCCACUCUUGAACGGGUGGUAAUCAAAGCUGGGGACCGUAAGGCCUCGCGCUAUUGGAGCGGCCGAUGUCUGAUUAGCUAGUUGGCGGGGUAAGAGCCCACCAAGGCGACGAUCAGUAGCUGGUCUGAGAGGACGACCAGCCACACUGGGACUGAGACACGGCCCAGACGCCUACGGGAGGCAGCAGUGGGGAAUUUUGGACAAUGGGCGCAAGCCUGAUUCAGCCAUGCCGCGUGCGGGAAGAAGGCCUUCGGGUUGUAAACCGCUUUUGGCAGGAACGAAACGGCGCAAGCCAAUACCUUGCGCUAAUGACGGUACCUGCAGAAUAAGCACCGGCUAACUACGUGCCAGCAGCCGCGGUAACAC